AUAAACUAAGAAAUACAAUUAAAAUUGCUCCAACAAAAUGUUCACUGGCUCAAAGUUUUAAUAUUCAUUCACAGUAUGGAUUCAAAUGCAUAAAUAUGUACAAAAUAUCCUAACAACCAUUCUACAACAAUUUCAUUCAAAAUAACAAAUAUUUUACAACCAGAUACUAUUAAAUUGAAACAUAAUUAAGUCAAUUCUCUCAACUGAACUAGACAAUAUAUAUACAUAAAUAUGUUAAAGUAAAAUAUACCAAUAUCACAUUGUAAUGUUUAAAUGUAGUUAUUUGAUUUAGAUCAUUUAUUUGUAAUUUGUAAAUCUAGUCAAAGUGUAGGGCAAUGAUUAUCAUAGAUUUUGUGACCAGAUCAAACUUUAAACCCAAAUUUAUUAUAAGGGAGCUACCAUUUGAUUUUUAUGGGGGGGCUAGGAUGAAAUUUGAAAAAAAUAGGCAGGACAGGAGUUUUGAGUAAAAAAAAAGGCAGGAUGAGUCACUUGCAAGAAAAAAAAGUCAGGACAACAAUUUAGGUAAAAAAAAGUCAGGAUAAUCUAAACAAAAAAAAAGGCAGGACCGAACAGAGUGAAAAAUAAAAAGGCAGGACAGAGAUUACAGCUAAAAAAAAAUGCAGGACAAAAUUUUUCAUCCUAGCCCCCCCAUAAAAAUCAAAUGGUAGCUCCCUAAACUUGUAAAGAUCUUCAAUGUUAGAUUAUUGGUAUUAUAUAUUAUGUAAACAAGAGUGCACACGCUGAAAUGUCUCGCCUUCUAUACUAAUCAUUGAUAUUAUGUUGAUAGUCCUAAGUAUAAAGCUAAGCUUUAAUACAACUGUCACAUAAACUAAACAUUAACCAAGAUAACUAAACAAAGACCAAUGAACCUUGAAAAUGAGGUCAAGGUCAGAUGAACCAUGCCAGUCAGACAUGUACAGCUAACAAUGCUUCUAUACAACAUAUAUAGUUGACCUAUUACUUAUAGUUUAAGAAAAAUAGACCAAAACACAAAAACUUAACACUGUGCAAUGAACCGUGAAAAUGAGGUCAGGGUCAAAUAAAACCUGCGCAACUGACAUAAAGAUCAUAAAAUAUUUCCAUACACCAAAUAUAGAUGACCUAUGGCAUAUAGUAUUAGAUAAAAAGACCAAAACUCAAAAACUUAACUUUGACCACUGAACCAUGAAAAUGAGGUCAAGUUCACAUGACAUCUGCCCGCUAGAUAGGUACACCUUACAAUCAUUCCAUACAACAAAUAUAGUAGACCUAUUGCAUAUAGUAUGAGAAAAACAGACCAAAACACAAAAAUUUAACUAUAACCACUGAACCAUGAAAAUGAGGUCAAGGUCAGAUGACACCUGCCAGUUGGACAUGUACACCUUACAGUCCUUCCAUACACCGAAUAUACUAGCCCUAUUGCUUGUAGUAUCUGAGAUAUGGACUUGACCACCAAAACUUAACCUUGUUCACUGAUCCAUGAAAUGAGGUCGAGGUCAAGUGAAAACUGUCUGACAGACAUGAGGACCUUUCAAGGUACGCACAUAUCAAAUAUAGUUAUCCUAUUACUUAUAAUAAGAGAGAAUUCAACAUAACAAAAAAUCUGAACUUUUUUUUCAAGUGGUCACUGAACCAUGAAAAUGAGGCCAAGGACAUUGGACAUGUGACUGACGGAAACUUCGUAACAUGAGGCAUCUAUAUACAAAGUAUGAAGCAUCCAGGUCUUCCACCUUCUAAAAUAUAAAGCUUUUAAGAAGUUAGCUAACACCGCCGCCGCCGCCGGAUCACUAUCCCUAUGUCAAGCUUUCUGCAACAAAAGUUGCAGGCUCGACAAAAAUCAAAUGUUCCUUUAACAACAAUAAACUGUCACCAAUGAAUAAUGCAAGAAUUACCCAAGAAGAGCAGGAAUUAUAUGUAUAAUGUCUAUGCCAAAUACUUUAAUAUUAUCUGGUCAAUUAGAGUAAAUAUCAUUGUGAUGGCAUAUGCAUUAAGUUUGAAAUUGACAAGUCUGAUUAAUAAAGUCAUCUUUAGAGGUCAAGAUCAUAUGAACCAUGCCCGACAGACAUGUAAACCUUUAAAUAAUUUUUAAGCAUCUUAGAAAUAGACGAAUGUGUCCCCUUGCCUGUAGUGUAUGCCCUAAUUUUUUUACAGUUAGGGGUUUUUUGCUUGCAAGAGAGCUUAUUCCAUUUUCAUAUUUCUGUGUCAUUUUGGUCUCUUGUGGAGUUUUCUCAUUGGCAAUCAUACCACAUCUUCUUUUUAUAUAAAACCACAAAAACAAAACAUUGUCUAAUGAACCAUAAGAAAGGUCAAGGUUAAAUGAAACUUACAACUUACAAUCAUUCCAUACACCACAAAUAUAGUUGAACUAUCACUUUAUAUAUAAAGAUCGAAGAUUGAUUUGACCACAGAACUUAACCAUGAUCACUGAUCCAUAUAGUUGAGUGAGGUUACACACCAUUAUUCCGACAGCCCAUUAUUCCGACAGCCCAUUAUUCUGACAGCCCAUUGUUCCUUCAGCCCAUUGGUCUGACAACCCAUUAUUCCGACAACCCAAUAUUCGGACAACCCAUUGCACUGACAGCCCAAUAAUCAGACAACCCAUUAGUCCGACACUUAUCAAGUAUCAGGGUAUCAGGGCAAAACAAAAUUUGUCAGGCUAUGUUAUAGUUAUUGAUCAAGCAAGUCGGUAUAUUGGAUUUAAUCUGCACAGCUUGGGUGACCCUGAUUAACCCGAACAACUUAGGAGUUCGGGUUAAAGGGUCACACGAGCGUGCAGAUUAAAUCUAAUAUUCGGAUUUGAUUGGCCAAUAACUGUUUUAACACAUGACGCCAUCAAUUCACGUAACCGUUAUGGAAAUAUGCAAACAAUAUUCCGCAAUCCACAGCUCCUACAAAGUUUUUUCUAGGGUAAAGAAAGGAGGAAAUACGACUUUGGUAAGUUUUAAAUAAAAACAUUUUUUUUAAAUUUAGACUUAUUCUAAAAUUGCGAUUUAAUUGUAGAUUUUUUUUUAUCAUUUCUGUUAAAGUUAUUCCUUAAUUGCUUUUGAAUUUCUUUCCCUCAAUGAUAUGCUUAGAAAAAGAUGAACCAAGGAAGAUG
rnacentral:lncRNA from 1 species